rnacentral:rRNA from 1 species
GUAGGGAAUAUUGGGCAAUGGUCGGAAGACUGACCCAGCCAUGCUGCGUGCAGGAAGACGGCCCUCUGGGUUGUAAACUGCUUUUAUCUGGGAAGAAAAAGGCCAUGCGUGGCAAAUUGCCGGUACCAGAUGAAUAAGCACCGGCUAACUCCGUGCCAGCAGCCGCGGUAAUACGGAGGGUGCGAGCGUUGUCCGGAUUUAUUGGGUUUAAAGGGUGCGUAGGCGGCUGAUUAAGUCAGCGGUGAAAGACUUCGGCUUAACCGGAGCUGUGCCGUUGAUACUGGUUGGCUUGAGUGUCGGAGGGGUACAUGGAAUUGAUGGUGUAGCGGUGAAAUGCAUAGAUACCAUCAGGAACACCGAUAGCGAAGGCAUUGUACUGGCCGACAACUGACGCUGAUGCACGAAAGUGUGGGGAUCGAACAGGAUUAGAUACCCUUGUAGUCC